CCUACGGGUGGCUGCAGUGGGGAAUCUUGCGCAAUGAGCGACAGCUUGACGCAGCAACGCCGCGUGGGGGAAGAAGGCUUUCGGGUCGUAAACCCCUUUCAGUUAGGACGAAGCUUCGUUGGUUAAUAACCAACCGGAGUGACGGUACUUUCAGAAGAAGCCCCGGCUAACUACGUGCCAGCAGCCGCGGUAAUACGUAGGGGGCAAGCGUUGUCCGGAAUCAUUGGGCGUAAAGAGCGUGUAGGCGGCCUGAUCAGUCUGCUGUGAAAGUCCAGGGCUUAACCCUGGAAUGCCGGUGGAUACUGUCAGGCUUGAGUCCGGAAGAGGCGAGUGGAACUCCUGGUGUAGCGGUGGAAUGCGCAGAUAUCAGGAAGAACACCAAUGGCGAAGGCAGCUCGCUGGGACGGUACUGACGCUGAGACGCGAAAGCGUGGGGAGCAAACAGGAUUAGAUACCCCAGUAGUC
rnacentral:rRNA from 1 species